rnacentral:tRNA from 1 species
CCCUGGUUAACUCAGUUGGCAGAGCUCUCCUCUGGAAAUGGAGAGGUCCCGGGUUUGAGACCCGGACCAGGCG